rnacentral:rRNA from 1 species
GAGUGACCUGCCCUUAGCUCUGGGAUAAUCCUGGGAGACUGGGUCUAAUACCGGAUAGGAGCGCCUACCGCAUGGUGGGUGUUGGAAAGAUUUAUCGUUUUUGGAUGGACUCGCGGCCUAUCAACUUGUUGGUGAGGUAAUGGCUCACCAAGGCGACGACGGGUAGCCGGCCUGAAAGGGUGACCGGCCACACUGGGACUGAAACCCGGCCCAAACUCCUACGGGAGGCAGCAGUGGGGAAUAUUGCACAAUGGGCGCAAGCCUGAUGCAGCGACGCCGCGUGAGGUAUGACGGCCUUCGGGUUGUAAACCUCUUUCAGUAGGGAAGAAGCGAAAGUGACGGUACCUGCAUAAGAAGCGCCGGCUAACUACGUGCCAGCAGCCGCGGUAAUACGUAGGGUGCGAGCGUUAUCCGGAAUUAUUGGGCGUAAAGAGCUCGUAAGCGGUUUGUCGCGUCUGUCGUGAAAGUCCGGAGCUUAACCCCGGAUCUGCGGGGGGUACGGGCAGACCAGAGUGCAGUAGGGGAGACGGAAAUUCCUGGAGUAGCGGUGAAAUGCCCAGAUAUCAGGAGGAACACCGAUGACAAAGGCAGGUCUCUGGGCUGUAAAAGACGCUGAGGAGCGAAAGCAUAGGGAGCGAACAGGAUUAGAUACCCUGGUACUCCAUGCCGAAAACGUUGGGCACUAGGUGUGAGGACCAUUCCACGGUUUCCGCGCCGCAUGCUAACGCAUUAAGUGCUCCGCCUGGGGAGUACGGCCGCAAGGCUAAAACUCAAAGGAAUAGACGGGGGGCCGCACAAGCGGCGGAGCAUGCGGAGUAAUUCGAUGCAACGCGAAGAACAUUAUCAAGGCUUGACAUGUUCUCGAUCGCCGUAGAGAUACGGUUUCCCCUUUGGGGCGGGUUCACAGCUGGUGCAUCGUGGUCGUCAGCUCGUGUCGUGAGAUAUUGGGUUAAGUACCGCAACGAGCGCAACCCUCGUUCCAUGUUGCCAGCACGUAAUGGUGGGGGCUCACGGGAGAGUGCCGGGGUCAACUCGGAGGAAGAUGAGGGGGACGUCAAAUCAUCUCACGCCCUAUGUCUUCGGCUUCACGCAUGCUACAAUGGCCGGUACAAUGGGUUGCGAUACUGUGAGGUGGAGCUAAUGCCAAAAAA